UACGAGGACGACGCUGGCGGCGUGCUUAACACAUGCAAGUCGAACGGAAAGGCCCUGCUUUUGUGGGGUGCUCGAGUGGCGAACGGGUGAGUAACACGUGAGUAACCUGCCCUUGACUUUGGGAUAACUUCAGGAAACUGGGGCUAAUACCGGAUAGGAGCUCCUGCUGCAUGGUGGGGGUUGGAAAGUUUCGGCGGUUGGGGAUGGACUCGCGGCUUAUCAGCUUGUUGGUGGGGUAGUGGCUUACCAAGGCUUUGACGGGUAGCCGGCCUGAGAGGGUGACCGGCCACAUUGGGACUGAGAUACGGCCCAGACUCCUACGGGAGGCAGCAGUGGGGAAUAUUGCACAAUGGGCGGAAGCCUGAUGCAGCAACGCCGCGUGCCGGGAUGACGGCCUUCGGGUUGUAAACCGCUUUCGCCUGUGACGAAGCGUGAGUGACGGUAAUGGGUAAAGAAGCACCGGCUAACUACGUG
rnacentral:rRNA from 1 species